rnacentral:rRNA from 1 species
AACGAACGCUGGCGGCAUGCCUAACACAUGCAAGUCGAACGAGACCUUCGGGUCUAGUGGCGCACGGGUGCGUAACGCGUGGGAACCUGCCCUUAGGUUCGGAAUAACUCCCCGAAAGGGGUGCUAAUACCGGAUAAUGUCUUCGGAGCAAAGAUUUAUCGCCUUUGGAUGGGCCCGCGUUGGAUUAGCUGGUUGGUAGGGUAAAAGCCUACCAAGGCGACGAUCCAUAGCUGGUCUGAGAGGAUGAUCAGCCACACUGGGACUGAGACACGGCCCAGACUCCUACGGGAGGCAGCAGUGGGGAAUAUUGGACACUGGGCGAAAGCCUGAUCCAGCAAUGCCGCGUGAGUGAUGAAGGCCUUAGGGUUGUAAAGCUCUCUUACCCGGGAUGAUAAUGACAGUACCGGGAGAAUAAGCUCCGGCUAACUCCGUG